rnacentral:tRNA from 1 species
ACUCAUGUAGCUCAGCUGGUAGAGCAAACGGCUGUUAACCGUUGGGUCGUAGGUCCGAAUCCUAUCGUGAGUG